CCUACGGGAGGCAGCAGUGGGGAAUAUUGGUCAAUGGGCGCAAGCCUGACCCAGCAACGCCGCGUGAAGGAAGAAGGCUUUCGGGUUGUAAACUUCUUUUAUCAGGGACGAAACAAGUGACGGUACCUGAUGAAUAAGCCACGGCUAACUACGUGCCAGCAGCCGCUGUAAUCCGUAGGUGGCAAGCGUUAUCCGGAUUUACUGGGUGUAAAGGGCGUGUAGGGGGGAGGGUAAGUCAGAUGUGAAACCUAUGGGCUCAACCCAUAGACUGGAUUUGAAACUGUAAGUCUUGAGUGCUGGAGAGGCAAGCGGAAUUCGGGGUGUAGCGGUGAAAUGCGUAGAUAUAAGGAGGAACACCAGUGGCGAAGGCGGAUUGCUGGACAGUAACUGACGCUGAGGCGCGAAAGCGUGGGGAGCAAACAGGAUUAGAUACCCUAGUAGUC
rnacentral:rRNA from 1 species